rnacentral:rRNA from 1 species
UACGGGGGGAGCAAGCGUUGUUCGGAAUUACUGGGCGUAAAGGGCUCGUAGGCGGCCAACUAAGUCAGACGUGAAAUCCCUCGGCUUAACCGGGGAACUGCAUCUGAUACUGGAUGGCUUGAGUUCGGGAGAGGGAUGUGGAAUUCCAGGUGUAGCGGUGAAAUGCGUAGAUAUCUGGAGGAACACCGGUGGCGAAGGCGGCAUCCUGGACCGACACUGACGCUGAGGAGCGAAAGCCAGGGGAGCAAACGGG